rnacentral:lncRNA from 10 species
UUCUGUAAGAGGAUUGAGGUGUGCAUGAGAAGAUAUUAGAAGACUUUAGCUGCCAGAGAAGAUAAUGCUCCUGGAUUCCCCCUCCACUCAUCAGCAUCCUCUUCCUCAUAAUUUCCUUGGCCCCACCUUGAGACUCACCAAAUUCAGAAGGCUGUACUGCUGCUAUUUCUUGCUGUUUUCUACAGGAGCUGCAGAGGCUGAUUUUAUGGACCCUGACUCCACUAGUCCCUUCCCUCCACACUACUCACAAGAGUUAGUGCCAUUAUUAGGCACCUGGAUCCUGGGGCCCUAUGGUCCAUGUCCCAGGAGAGUAUGUUGUGAAAGGUGUUCAGCAUUGGGAGUAGAGUGAGGGUGAAAGAGUUCAAAGGCACUUGGGAAGUCUAAUUAACAAAAAUGGCAUUCAUCUAGGUAAAAUAAGCCAGACACAGAAAGAAAAAUAUUGCAUAAUUUCACAUCAUGUGUGAAACCUUAAAAAGUCAAAUUCACAGAAGCAAAGAGUAGAUUGGUGGUUACCAAGGGGCAGGGAGAGAAGGAAAUGGAGAGAUGUUUGUCAAAGGAUAUAAAAUUUCUGUUACAAGUAUGAAUAAGUUCUAGAGAUCUAAUGUGAAGUGUGGGGAUGGGAAUAAUAUUUUAUCAUAUGGUUAAAAUUUGCUAAGACAAUAGAUCUUAAGACUUGCCACCACAAGAAAAGGUAACGAUGUAAAGCAAUGGAUGUGCUAAUUAGUGUGACUGUAGUAUUCAGUGUGAUGCACUCUAUGUGUAUCAAAACAUCACUUUUUACACUUUAUAUAUAAUUUUAUUUUAAAAAUAAGAAAGGAAAGAUAGGAAGAAAGGAGGGAAGAGAAAGAAAAAGAAAAAGAAAUCCUAGAAAAAAAAAGUGUAAGGAAACUGAGUGAUGGGAAUUCUUUCAGGAUAAUUUCUCUGAAUACACCAGUAAGGAAGAAACUGAAUCAGGCUAUCCUCAGCACUGUAACUCUAGAGGGAAGUACUAGAGGAACAUUCCCACCAAUGAAAGGAGCAUGGACCGUGGCCAGUUGAGGGGAGCAGAGAGUGCUUUUCCUGUGAACCUUUCUCAUGCAGUGGGAGUAUCAGUGGUCUGGACCCCAGAGAUCCCUGGGAGUGGCCCUCUUCAUGCUCAUGGUGUCAUGUCCAAGAUUUUAUCUUCAUGGCUUUUCUUUGUCUAAACUUUUUGUUUCGUAAGUGUGGUUUCGGACAAUGCAAUUGUUAACAAUACUCACUUUCCAUAGAGCAAUGCCUGGCAUUGCUUCCUUGAAAAAACAAAUGGAAUGGUCACCAGAACAGUCACCACUCAUGCACAAUAGGACCUAGAAUAUAGGCUCUCCUGAAGAAUAUUCAGGAUCAUGUGGGCUUUGGGCAUAAGAAUCUUAGAGAGAGAAGAACAAGUCUUUUUCUAGGACUCAUGGUUUCCUCCCCACAACUUCUGAGAAGGAGACAUUAGGGCAAAAAUGUAGAUGGAAUAUAAUCCCACUCCUUACAUACAGUAACUCUGGCCGCAUCUCUAUCUUGCUAUGUAGGUGUCUGAGGUAAAGCUCCAAGGACAAUGGAAGCAUCAAAUAAAGUUAGUAGACAUGCUAAAUGAAGAAAACUAUUUCAUGAGUGAAUAAUUGCUCAAGGAAAUGUAUAUUGCUAAGAGCAUGCAGUUUAAACUGUGCAAAAUAUUCUUAUCCUCAGAAUUUCUUAUAAAUAAAUAAUUCCUCUCCACUCUCAGAUCAUGGGAAGGUUGGGAAGAGAAAAUGUGAUGCUUUUGUUCGAAUGCUUGUUUUACCACUUUCUGGCCGCUUCUACUUGGGCAAUGUUAGAGACUCUCAGAACCACAAUUUCCUCAUCUGAAAUAUGAGGAUAAUGAACCUUUCAAUACAUGGUAGUUGCGAGGAUAAAAUUCAAUUUAUUUUUUCAUUUAACAAACAUUAAUCUUGACUCUAUAAUUUACUAAGCCCUAUACUACAUGUUAUAAAUGCAGUACAACAAAGAAUCAUUCCUGCCAUCUUAGAGGGAGACCAAAAUGUAACAUAUAAUUACACCAAGGAUUGUAUUAUCCUGUAUUUAUAUCCUGUAUAUAUCCUGUAUGUAUUUAUCAUAAUAAAUCUUCAUUGAGAUAUUAAUGGGUCAUGUUAUUCUGAUUAUUACCUGUUAUUUCAUCUAAUCCGAAUAUUAACCAAAUGAGAGAUAUAUUAUUAUAAUCCACAAUUUACUGAUGUAGAAUCUAAGUAAUGCAUGUUGUGAGUUGAAUUGUACCCCUAAUGAAGAUAUGUUGAAGUCCUAACCCCUAGCAUCUGUUAAUGUAAUCUUAUUUGGAAACAGGGUCUUUGCAGAUGUAAUAAACUUAAAAGUCACCAGUUAACACAAAGACUGAUACAUUUCCAGUUCAACCACAUCCUGAGAGUAUUUACCAAGAUCCCAUCAGACUCUGCCGUUGAUUUUUCUUUCCUCAUGCCAGGAAAUUGCCAAAUUUUUGCUCCAUUUCAUACUGGUUUCUUCUAGAUUGGCAAAAGUCUUCAGAACAAAUGAAGCUGUAAAUCCAGGGUUUCUCUCUCUCAGUUUUUAACUGCUCCAAAAUUUUGAUUUUUCCUUCUUAACUCUUCAGUGCUUUUACAAAUAUGUUUAUGUUUGAUUAAUUCAAGCAGCUUUUAUAGUGAUGAUUUAGCUGGAUAAAAAUCUGAUUAUUGACAAGUAUUUUACAUGUGUAUUCAAAUUUAAUAUAUUCAAUUCAAUAUAUUUCAAUUUAUUUGAGUUACACACACAUACGUGUGAGCACAUGCACACACACACACAUAAUACAUUAUAUAUUUCCACAGACUUCUGAUGUCUAUUGCUGUUAAGAAUUGCAUUGUCUGUCAAAUUGCCGCUCCUCUAUAGGUAAUGUACUAUUUAUCCGGCU